CCGCCGAUAGCUCAAGUGGUAGAGCGCUGGGUGUCUAUUAGAAUCUGUAGUAUGAGUUUCGUCGACAUCGACGCAUUGCCUAGAGAUGCUGGUUCGAUUCCAGCUCGGAGAA